CGGGUGAGUAAUGUCUGGGAAACUGCCUGAUGGAGGGGGAUAACUACUGGAAACGGUAGCUAAUACCGCAUAAUGUCUGCGGACCAAAGCGGGGGACCUCCGGGCCUCGCGCCAUCAGAUGAACCCAUAUGGGAUUAGCUAGUAGGUGGGGUAACGGCUCACCUAGGCGACGAUCCCUAGCUGGUCUGAGAGGAUGAUCAGCCACACUGGGACUGAGACACGGCCCAG
rnacentral:rRNA from 1 species